rnacentral:rRNA from 1 species
GACGAACGCUGGCGGCGUGCUUAACACAUGCAAGUCGAACGGAAAGGCCCUGCUUUUGUGGGGUGCUCGAGUGGCGAACGGGUGAGUAACACGUGAGUAACCUGCCCUUGACUUUGGGAUAACUUCAGGAAACUGGGGCUAAUACCGGAUAGGAGCUCCUGCUGCAUGGUGUGGGUUGGAAAGAUUCGGCGGUUGUGGAUGGUCUCGCGGCUUAUCAGCUUGUUGGUGGGGUAGUGGCUUACCAAGGCUUUGACGGGUAGCCGGCCUGAGAGGGUGACCGGCCACAUUGGGACUGAGAUACGGCCCAGACUCCUAUGGGAGGCAGCAGGGGGGAAUAUGACACAGUGGGCGGGAGCCAGAGGCAGCAACGCCGCGUGCGGGAUGACGGCCUUCGGGUGGUAAACCGCUUUGGCCUGAGACGAAGCGUGAGUGACGGUAAUGGGUAAAGAAGCACCGGCUAACUACGUG